UGGGGAGGGAAGAUCGCAGUUUGUGACGUCACGGCUGAGGGAAGCGAGGACUCUACUCACCUCUGCCGCCCCAGACCCUGAAGUGGAGAGGGAGGGCAGCUGGGCUUGCAAUUCAGCCCCGUGCAAGCGAUCAUUUUCGCGGGCAAACACUUCCUUAAGCGUGCUUAAGGAUUAACAUCUGUGCCCUUCAAGAUGGCUGAAGCAAAAAUGCCCAUACCAGAUGGUCCAGGAGAAAUGAUUUCUUGAUAUCUAAGACAAGGACUGGAGAAAAGGAAGAGCUUCAAAAGGCUGUCAUUUUUUUAUAAAUUUAAAAAAACUGACAAAGAUAAAAUGUUUCUAUAAUAAUGAAACUGAAUCUAAGUGAAAUGUGCAAUCUAAAAAUAUAUCUGGACUAUGCAUAAAGUAAGCGGCUAUGCUUAAAGGGCAUAAGAAUACCUAUCUUUUAUUGAAAUUCCCAGUGUUUUCUUAAGGACUUCAAAUGAAUCCUUACAAAUUAAGAACAGAUAACCUGAUUCAGCGGGAUGUUCAACAACCCUUCUAGGUCACAAAGACCAAUACUACAGAAUAAUCAAUUACCGGUGAAACAAUUAGAUUUCAGACUUCUGUUGUGCCUGCAAAUAAUCAUCUCCAAAUUUCUACACAACAGAAGAUAAAUGUGUUACCACUUCUAUUAUAAACUCCCUUUUCAGGGCUCUAGGGCUCUGAAAUAAAGACCCCCAAACCAG